ACUAACAUAAUAUACAUAAACUGUAACUGAAAAGUAAAUUUUAAAAAAUUGUCUUCUGCAGGGGUCUCAGGUUCUCUGCCCUAUACUCUCUGUUAUCUCCCUGAACAAAUCCAUCUGCUCUCUGGCUUCAGCACUAUCCAUUUGCAGAUAACUCUUAGGUCUACACAUCCAACUCCUUUGCACCCUGCAGACAAAUUUUUAAGUUAUACAGUAAAAAUAACAUGGAAUCAGGAGUCAUGGGGACUCUAAUGGUUUUUCAAAAAUGUUUCAGAGCUAAAUUCUGUAAGUGAUGUUAGACCUUCAAAUGCCAUUUUCUCUUUUUGUAUAGUUGUACUCAUCCUUAUUUUGAGUUCAGUCUUCCUCAUUCUUUUUGCUGUCUUAAGAAGUUAUAAAUGAAUUUCUCUGGGUGUUUGGGUUAGGUGGAUUCUACCUAAUUAUCUGGUCAAUAAUUUUGAUAAGACAAAUGGGAAACUAAAAUAAAUCUUAAUCACUAACAUUUAUUGAAUAAUCACUAUGUGUAAAGCACCUUACUUUGCUUAAACCAUCAGUAUUCAUUCGUAAUUUCUUGAGGAUGAGGGAAGUGAAGCUCAGAGAAAUUAAAUAACCAGCUCAUGGCCAAUGAGAGAGCAUGGGCUCAAACUCUGUUCUCUUUGCUUUCAAAGCUUGUAUUCCUACCCACUAUCCCGCCCUGCCUCAUAGUGUGCAGAAUGUGAAAUCAGGUUGGCAGCCACAUACAGAGUAUUACCUUCCUAAGGCCUCUUGGCUUUCUUGGUGGGUUAAAUAUUAUAGCUGCUUUGGAAUGCAAGUAUUGAUGAACAAACAGGGUCUGCGCUUGGUGAAACAGGACAUUUCUUGUUUGAGUCAGAUCUUUAUAAAUGCCAGUGACAGCACAAAUAUGAAAUUCUCCGUAUUAGCCAGCGGGGUGUCUGUCAGCAUCAGUGGGCCACCCCUUUUCUGCCAGCCCCUACAGGCAAUUGAUUAGGAAUUAGCUGAGUCUCAAUCCUCAGGUAAUUAAUUGGAGAUUGAACCCUUAUGUAACAAGGGUAAACACCAGAACGAUUCACUAGGGUGAGGACAACUCCAAAGCAGACUGAAAAAAUCUGUACAGAUUCUCUUGCGAAAAACAAGGGACUUCAAGUUGCAUGAAAUAGGUGUCUUGAGCCUUUUUGUUUGCAUGAAUCUGGCAGCUUUAGGUUAGAUGCAAGGGUGAGUUUAGUUGAAUGUCCACAAAAACUAGAAUGGACUAUUGUAGGAGGAAGAUAUAACUUUGGAGAAAAAAUAAUAAAACAUAUGUUUCAGUAAAAUUGAAUAACACCUAAAAUAGAAUUGCAGCCAAAAGUUUUACAGAGAGACUGAGAGAGAGAGAGAGAGAGAGAGACAGAGAGAGACAGAGAGAGACAGAGAGACAGAUGAGACAUGCAUUAUGCUAAUUUUUGAAAAGUUACCAAUAUUUAUGGGUCAUCAAGUUUACCAAAAUCAGAGUAAUACAAUUAUAGGAAGCAUUAGUUUUUGUUAUUGUUGCUGUGGUUGUUGUUAUUACCGUUAUUUUAGAGAAUGAUUGUAGAGAUAGAUUAAAACACUUUGAAAUGAAUUAAAUUUCAGAUACCUCUCCAGAGAGUCAAGGAUGAGCGGGGUUAUUUUGGAGCUUCCUUCUAGGGCAGUACAUUGGCUUGGCUCCUGUACCACAGUGGGCAGUCAGUCACAUGCGAAUCUAACUCCAUCCAGUACUUGUGCAUACCUAUAGAUGGCGAUGUCUUCCUAUAAUUUCGAUAAUUUGCUUUAGAAAAGAAAAGGCUUUCUGCAGACAGAUGUGGCAAUAUGUUGACUUCUAAUUAGGUACCAGAGUUGUAAAACAUUUAGAACAGAUGCCCUGCUUAGAUUGUAGAGGAUUAUACAUUUGAAAAAUAUAGAGGACUGUAUUUUUGGAAUUAUUAUUUUUUCAUUUAAGUAUGAUUCUUAGUUAUAUAUGGAAAAUGGGUGUAUGUGUCUAAGUAAAAGACUUAGUAAGUAAGUAAGAAGAAACUAUUUAUGUUGCUUUAAUAUUUAUUUUCUCUGCAGUGGUCUUGCUUUCAUAAUUAGCGUUCUGGACCAAACCAACAAUGUUAAUAAGCUUAGCAUCAAUGUCAUAUUAAUUGCUUGUCAGUCUUGGAGAUUACCUUGUGAAAAUAAAACUCCUAGAGUACAUAAUUUUGUUUCUCUAAAUUUUCAGUGUUUUACACUAAGAGUAAAUCAUAAGCUUCUGUGAGCAGGACCUAGAGUGUCAAAUGUAUGGUUCUUUUCAUUUAUCUGCCAAGGCAGCCACUCAUAAUGUCAUUUCUUCUUUUAAUCUACUGGGAUUUAACAUAAGAAAAAUGAAAGGACAUAUAAUCAUAUAAGAUGCACAGUUGCUGCUUGUGUACAACUAUAUAUAGAAAUAGUUUAUUUUGUAAACUCAAAAAGGAAGUCUUACUUUCCAUGAUUUACAGAAGUUAGAAAUGGAUGGCAGGUUUUUUUCCGGCCUGAAUACAGUCUUCCUGGAUCUUGACUGUGCACGGAUGUAGACCUGUAUCUUCCCAAUACCCAGUUUCCUAGGAAUGAUAAUAAAGAAUAUAGACUAUCUGAUUAAGUUGCUUACUGUUUGAAGGAUACUUCUCUCGCACCACUAGCCAGUGCAGACAAUGCUUUGCACCUACGAGGUCCUCUACAUAUGUCUGCUGACUGACAACUGCAUUGGCAACCAGUCCAACACAAAACAUCUUGUUUAGUAUGCAGCAAUGAGCUUGGACUAACAGCACCAGCAUGUUCACAAAGGGACCUCAUUAGAUGAAAUGUCACCAUAACAACAUGUUUCUGACUCAGUGGCGUGGCCUGGUGUUACACUAAACAAAUUCCUUUUUGUUGCUUCUUUCAUAGAAACCCACGAAAAUUCUGAGGAAUAUCAACAAAGAUGGACAAAGAUGAUAUGAAAUAGAAAAUUCUGUUAUUAUUCAAGAUCCUAACCUAGUGCCCAUGAAGAAAAAAUAAAAUGAGAAGGAAAUACCUUAAAGAGGAUAUUAUUUUU